AUUGAACGCUGGCGGCAUGCUUUACACAUGCAAGUCGAGCGGCAGCGCGGGGGCAACCCUGGCGGCGAGCGGCGAACGGGUGAGGAAUACAUCGGAACGUACCCGAGAGUGGGGGAUAACGCCGCGAAAGCGGCGCUAAUACCGCAUAUUCUCCGAGGAGGAAAGUGGGGGACCGCAAGGCCUCACGCUCACGGAGCGGCCGAUGUCGGAUUAGCUAGUUGGUGGGGUAAAGGCCCACCAAGGCGACGAUCCGUAGCUGGUCUGAGAGGAUGAUCAGCCACACUGGGACUGAGACACGGCCCAGACUCCUACGGGAGGCAGCAGUGGGGAAUUUUGGACAAUGGGGGCAACCCUGAUCCAGCCAUGCCGCGUGCGGGAAGAAGGCCUCGGGUUGUAACCGCUUUAGUCGGAGAAAGAUCACGGAUAACAACCUGUGGUUCUUGACGGUACCGGCGGAA
rnacentral:rRNA from 1 species